GUUGCUUCUUGGCCUUUUGGCUAGGAUCAAGUGUAAUAGUUGUUCUGUUUCAGACAUAAUUAUAUUCAUUAUUAAUUCCACUGAUU
ensembl:snRNA U2 U2 spliceosomal RNA